rnacentral:rRNA from 1 species
GACGAACCGUGCGAGCGUUGUUCGGAAUCACUGGGCUUAAAGGGCGCGUAGGCGGACACGCCAGUCCGGGGUGAAAUCUUUCGGCUCAACCGGAAAAGGGCCUUGGAUACUGCGUGUCUGGAGGAAGGUAGGGGCAUGCGGAACUUCCGGUGGAGCGGUGAAAUGCGUUGAUAUCGGAAGGAACGCCGGUGGCGAAAGCGGCGUGCUGGACCUUUACUGACGCUGAGGCGCGAAAGCCAGGGGAGCGAACGGG